rnacentral:lncRNA from 13 species
CCCAAGAUUACUCAUGUGUGACUGUUUAAGGCUCUGAUAGAUGAUCCAUAUUCACCUUUCUCUCACAAAAUCAAAUGAGAGAGGAGAAAAGGAUACAGAAAAUCAGAUAUGGUAACUAACUUGACUAAGAUAUUUCCACCAUUGUUCAGGAGUCAGCAAGUUAUCCCAUCACCAUUUUUAAUUCCCAAAGUUUAUGACAUACUGAAGUGGAGUCUGCUUCCGUACAAAAGUGUUCAAUGUCUUUCUGCUCUUCUGACCUACGAUGUGGAGUUCUGCUUCCAAACACCCAAGAAAACCAAAAUAAUAUAUGCACUUUAUAUAUUGAGAUAAAGGAGAAAAAUGCAACACCAACAAUAACAUUGUGGGUAAUCUUAUAACUUUUUUGGUGUAUUACAGAGGAGUAGAUUUUAUGAGGGCCUAAUCCCACCCAACGAACAUGUCCCCAAACAAGGAGACGAUUAGUUAUUCAG